ensembl:lncRNA
UGACUUGCUCUCUGAUCCCUGACAAGUGACUCUCAGGGUUGGACAUCACCUGGCGAUGCCUUCACCUCUGCCACCUCCCACUGCUGACCCUGAGAUAAGGCGCAUAUCCAUGAAUCACUUGGCAAAGUCCUUUCUAGACAGCAGCGCUGUGUAUCCGUCCCCCCUUGCAAUUUCCCCGCCUACAUUUGCACAGUUGCCCUAUCUGAACAGGACUAAGACUGACACUUUCCUGCCAGUGGCCGGGUCCACAUGAGCACUGGCCCCUUGUACAUCAAGAGCUGCCCAGGAGAGGCCAGGAACAGGAAUAGGGACCAUUUUGACUAAGAUUGACUUGGAGGAUUUUUUUUCCUGCUUAUUAAAUGACAAAGGUUUGACUUAGCAGGCAAUCGGAAACCCAAAAUAUCAUAAAAGGAAAAAAGUUGCCGAGCGGCUAAGAGAUGGGGAAAUGGAGCUCAGAGAGGGAGCGAGACUUCUUCAAGAUCACCCAGGAAGUCCGUGGUACGGCUGGGGUGGAGGCCAAGUCUUCGGCCUCCAGCCAGGCUUCUCUCUUCUGCACAAGGAACUUCGACGUCAGCGAGCACCACAUUCUAGAGGCCACAGCCCGGCCACGGGGACGCUGGCCUCCUUGAUAGCGUUGACCUUUGCACCACAGGAACCGACAUUCCUCAGCUGAACUUUUAAAACCAUCGUGCACAGAAAAACUCGAUUCCAUCCAUGUUGGCUAUAGUCACUCUUUUCUCCCGAAUGUCAUAUCUUCUGAGGAGUCGGCAGGGGACACCCUGGUUCUCUUUCCUGGACAGGGAAGCCUGGCAUGCUACAGCCCAUGGGCUCACAAAGAAUCAGGCAUGACUUAGUGACUGAACAACAACGAACACCGCUGGUUCACUCCUCAGCUGAGCCACAAACAUCACCUGGGGAAAGCACUGAGAUUCCUACAAUCUCUCCUCCCCCUUCCACCAUCACUAGCCACCACGCUCCACACAAGAAUUUUGUGAGAAACAAUGAUUAGAGCCCCACCCUGAUGCUGAGCCCGCAGGAGAGGUCCGGAUGCUGAGAGGAUGCUGCUAGAUCUGGGGGAGCCCUAGAGAGGCUCCUGCUCCUGCAGAGCUGCUGCAGUGCAUUCACACCCAGGAACAGCCUGGCAGCACGACCACCCAGGGCUCCCGUGUCCUCCCCAAGUCUGGCAUCUUCCAUGUGGGCUGGGCUGCUGGUGUCCCGAGCACUGGGCCCUGCUGUGCCUUUUGCAAGUCAUACCCUGUUCCUGUUCCUGGCUUUGGCUCGUCACCCAGCAAAUGGGAAAGCCGGGCUGGAAAGUCUCAGGAAGGCCGGUCUCUGCCGACUCCAGUCAUCUAUGGCAAUGAAAAGGGAAUGCUCCUGACAAAGCAAGGGUAAAGGGCCCAGGGUUAAGAUGGCAGCCUUGGUAUGUAGAACCUUCUAGAAGGCCAGGAGAUGUGGCCUACUGAGCUUCUGAGAGGUCUUGAAUGCAGGGUUGGUGUCAUGGGAGCGGCACUCAGAGGGUCCCCAGGCUUAGGGUUUCAAGCUCUGUAUCACUGUCUUGAGGUUCUUAAAGAGUUUUAUCUUGGUAAAAGCUGUGGUUUGUAAAUGAAGUCUGAUGGGACAAUGGACCAGGAAGUGGGGGGGUUUGCGCCUUGGCUCAUGUGGUCUUGCGUCCCACCGCCUGCCUGUUCCUGGGGUCUGGUUCUCAACUGCUCCGCCUUCUGUCCCCUGCAGCCCUAGCUACAUUCAGCCAUCCCCUCC